rnacentral:rRNA from 1 species
UACGUAGGGUGCGAGCGUUAAUCGGAAUUACUGGGCGUAAAGCGUGCGCAGGCGGUUUUCUAAGACAGAUGUGAAAUCCCCGGGCUCAACCUGGGAAUGGCAUUUGUGACUGGAAGGCUAGAGUGUGUCAGAGGGGGGUAGAAUUCCACGUGUAGCAGUGAAAUGCGUAGAGAUGUGGAGGAAUACCGAUGGCGAAGGCAGCCCCCUGGGAUAACACUGACGCUCAUGCACGAAAGCGUGGGGAGCAAACAGG